UUGGCCUCAAUGUUUAGAAACAGGGUUUUUAACCAGGAAGCAAUACCCAAUGCUCAUCUUUCCUCAGCUGUUAGAGCGGAAACUUGAAUUGUGUUCAUGUGUUGCAUGAGAAAACAAGAGCAGUUGUUGCACAAGUUAUUACAAACACGAGAGGAAUUUCUGGUGAAAUGAGCUGAUCAUGCUUAACAAUACAAUGAAAACAAUUAUAUUUGAUGGCAAUAAAAAAAACAUCUUGGGUUUGAAUAUUUCCCUCAAUGUAAAGAUCAAAUAGCUUCGAUGAAGAAUUCAAACAAGCUGGUAGAGAAUCUACGUCUAACUAUUCUUUUUAAAAGGGAAAUCUGGAAAACGAAACAUUUUCAGGGACGUUGGCGCAGCUGAUACUGAUCACCUCUUGUCAUUGUCUAGUUGCUUUUUAGUCUUUGUGAAACUGGUUUGCAUGCCAUCCGGAGAAACAACGCAGUGUGGUAAUUAGUCUUAGUUAUUUGAAUUGCUGUGUUAAAUAACAUUGAUUCAGUGAGGGAAUCGGAACUCGAAGAGAAUGAAGGUUUGGGUUUUAUCAAGUAUUACUUUUAUGUGUAGUCCUGUGUAUAGCUUGAAUUUUGGGAUGUGUACUUGUUUUAGGGUUGUUAUUUCAUAUUUCCCACUAACUAGUCUGAACCCUGGCUGUUCUGAGCAUCCCGCACAUCAACGGUCUCAGCCAAUCAGAGGAUGCCCUUCUCCUCUCAGUCAGUGUGAGGCCACCUUUCACUGCUCAUCUGCCCGUCAUCAAUGUGUCUGUCUGUAUGCACUGUAUGUGUGUGGGUGUGUUGCGUUAACAUAGAACCGGUUCCACCGGUACCACACCAACACUAAUCACCAUGUUUAUGUUGGCAUCAAAGCAGACUCGCUGAUUUUAUAAACAGUACCAGUGAAAUUAAAAAGGUUUUGUUGAAAUCCA